AGGGCUUGCCUCUAGCUGCCAAGGUAUUAGGAUGUCUAAUGCAGUCUAAAAGAACAAGAGAAGAGUGGGAACGUGUUUCAUCUAGCGAACUGUGGAGGCUAGAUGAGGUUGAUAGAGAUCAGGUUGAAAGACGAAUAUUUAUACCUUUGCUUUUGAGUUACUAUGAUUUACCUUCUGUGGUAAGACGAUGUUUCUUGUAUUGUGCCAUGUUUCCAAAAGACUACGAGAUGGGAAAAUAUGAAUUGGUGAAGAUGUGGAUAGCUCAAGGUUACCUCAAGGAGACUUCAGGUGGAGAUAUGGAGCUUGUAGGAGAGCAGUACUUUCAAGUCUUAGCAGCGCGCUCUUUCUUUCAAGAUUUUGAGACGUAUGGUCGAGAAGGUAUUAGAUUCAAGAUGCAUGAUAUAGUGCAUGAUUUUGCCCAAUAUAUGACAAAAAAUGAAUGUCUAACAGUGGAUGUCAAUACACUUGGAGGAGCAACAGUGGAGACUUCAAUUGAAAGGGUUCGUCAUUUAAGCAUGAUGCUGCCCAACGAGACCUCUUUUCCCGUGUCCAUUCACAAAGCAAAAGGUCUUCGCAGCCUCUUGAUCGACACUAGAGACCCUUCGCUUGGAGCUGCACUACCUGAUUUAUUCAAGCAGUUGACAUGCAUCAGGUCAUUGAAUUUGACAGGGUCUCAAAUCAAAGAAAUACCAAACGAGGUAGGGAAAUUGAUACAUUUGAGACACCUCAAUUUGGCAAGGUGUGUAGAGUUGGAGUCCCUGCCAGAAACCAUGUGUGAUUUAUGCAAUCUGCAAUCCCUAGACGUUACUUGGUGUCAGUCUCUCAAGGAAUUGCCCAAGGCGAUUGGAAAACUUAUCAAAUUGAGGCAUCUCCGGAUUGAUAGUUCAGGAGUGGCCUUCAUACCUAAGGGAAUAGAGAGGAUAACAUGUCUUCGAACAUUAGAUGUGUUUAAUGUGUGUGGUGGUGGUGAGAAUGAAAGUAAAGCAGCUAAUCUAAGAGAAUUAAAAAACUUAAAUCACAUUGGAGGGAGUCUUAGUAUACCGAAUCUAGGAGGAGGUAAAGAAGAUGCGAGUGACGCUGCAGAAGCACAACUCAAGAAUAAGAAGCGCCUGCUUAGUUUGGAAUUGGGUUUCGACAGAGAGAAAACAGAGUUGCAAGCGAAUGAAGGCUCUUUAAUUGAAGCUUUACAGCCUCCGUCAGACUUGAAAAAUCUAACCAUAACUAGGUACGGAGGGUUGGAUUUGCCAAAUUGGAUGAUGACAUUAACCAGAUUACAGGAACUGACACUCAUUGACUGUACAAACGUGGAGGUCUUGCGUCCGUUGGGUAGAUUGCCCAACCUUGAAGGCCUGGUAUUGAUGUUGUUGAAGGGGAGAAGGUUGGAUUUUGGAUUUUUAGGUAUAGAAAAAGAUGAGAAUGCCAGUAUUAAUGAAGGAGAGAUUGCAAGGGUCACUGCUUUCCCCAAAUUAAAAACACUUUGGAUUUUGAAUCUUGUAAAAGUAGAAGAGUGGGAAGGAAUUGAAAGGAGAGUGGGAGAAGAAGAUGCCAACACAACUUCAAUAAUAUCCAUUAUGCCACAGCUUCGACUGUUGAUGAUUGAUGGUUGCCCGUUGUUGAGAGCACUACCAGACUAUGUUUUGGCAGCGCCUCUACAGGAACUACGCAUAAUUAGAUGCCCCAAUCUAAGGAAACGUUACGGGAAGGAGGAGAUGGGUGAAGAUUGGCAAAAGAUUUCUCACAUCCCAAAGAUUUCUAUUAAAGAAUAGUUAAGACACCACUACGUACGGAAGUCUGUAGGACCGGCAGGAAGAGGUAUGUUUGAUAUACCUCUUUACUGUAUAUUGUUGACUUUGGAUUGUAUUUCCUACUUACCAUUUAUUCUAUCAAAUGCAGCAUAAAAUUACCUCUCUCUCACAUCCUCUCUCUCCCUCCCAACAUAUAUAAAAUAAUAUGUAAUUCAUAUGUUUAUAUUUAAAGAAUAGUUUAGACCGGCAGGAAGAGCUAAUUUUUUAUUUAAUUAUUGAAUUAUACUUAAAUUUCAAAGGUUGUUGCAAUUUAAGCUCUCUCUCUUAUUUUUUUCUCUCUCUCAUUUUCUUGUCAUUUUCGAAUGUACUAUGUUGUUGAUGGGUGCUUAGAUACUAUGUUGUUGAUUUUAUUAUUUGUUUUGGUGUUGUAGCGGCAAACGGUGUUGUUAUUGCAACUGAGAAGAAAUUGCCAUCUAUUUUAGUCGAUGAAUCUUCUGUAAGUAAACAUUUAUUAUUAUUUUUUUUGGUUUUGUUAUAUUCUUUGGUUGAAAUUCAAGUAACCCUUUUGUUUUUUUGCGUUUUCUUUAGUGACAUCGGUUGGUAGAAAUCUGUUCAAAUUCGGUGUAAAUUUGUAAUUUUUAUUAGUAAUUUGAGCCUAGUGAUUUGGGUUCUUGCCAAUGAGGCGUUACUAUACUAGUCAAUGACUCUUAAGAUUGGGACUUUGCAUGUUGGAGUGUGUAGAUUUAUAUCCUCUUUAAUCCCACAUUGUAUAAAAAGGUGGUGUUGGUUAUUUUAAAUCGUGUUGAAUGAGGUGGAGAUGGUUUGAUUUUGGAGCCAGUCGAUUGGUCUAUUAUUCUAAUUUGCAAGAUGGUAUAUAACUUGAGUUGGUUGUUGAUGGUAUUUAAUUGCUUCUUGUUUCAGGUUCAGAAAAUACAGAAUCUGACACCCAAUAUUAGAGUUGUCUACAGGUUUGUUUCUGCCUGCUUCUCAGUAAUUAGGAAUUUCCAUUUUUUUAGCUUGUGUUUCUCUGGCCUUAACUAUUGCUAAAAUAUCUGUCAUGAAUGAUUGUAGCAGGCGGGUGUGUAGAUUCAAAGCUCUCUUUAUGUUUGGUGGGAAAUUGUAUAGUUUCUGCUGUUGUUAUAGUGUCCUGAUAAGUGUGAAAUUUGACCCGGGGUGGUAAAUUGAGAUAGAAGCAUGCCUGCUUAUAAUCUGAACUUCAGUGGAACUCCUUGUAGGUCAAUGUUCUUAAUUGGUCUGGUUAUGGACUUGACUUUGACAUGCUGUACAUGUACGCUGUUUCUGAUUCAACCGAAAAAAAGAGGGGGACAAAUAUGUAGUUCCUUAGAAAAAUAAAAAUAAGGCAUUCCUCUGUACAUGGGUUUGAAAUAAGACAUCUUGGCAAUUUGGUUGCUCAAUGCAACUUGUGCAACUUAUUACCUAUGUCAAAAUGGGUUGCUUUGCUGUAAUUGUUUCUUGACAGUGCUGAAUCACAUGUAUUUUGUUGCAGUGGAAUGGGUCCUGACUUUCGAGUUUUGGUUCGGAAAAGUAGGAAGCAAGCAGAGCAAUAUCAUAGACUGUACAAGGUACCCAUCUUCAAGAUUUUCAAAAUCUGCUACAUCAGUCUUCAUCCUAUUCCACCAAUAACACACCUUAAGGUCUUUAUACAUCUUGGUGGAACCUGGAUGCAUUGUGUAAACUGUCUGAUGUGCCUCUACCAUCAAUUCUCUCCUCAGAUCAUCUACAUCAGGUACACAAAGCCUAUCCCUAUAUCUCAGCACAUCAUCAUCACCUAUCACAAAACCUGCAGCCUUACCCUGCUCAACCUCAUUUCUAAUCCCGAGUAGUGAAUCAUCUUUCUUCUGAGCUGCUUUUAUCUUAUCAAACAAAUCUGACUUAACCUGAAAAUGAGCAAUCAUUGCUCCAGCUUCACUAAGAUCAAAUCUGACUCCUUCAUCCACCAACUCAUGCAGCUCCCUAAUCAGAGGUCUUCGUACCUCCUGAAUAUGAGCUAAGCUCCCUGAUGAUUUUCUACUCAAAGCAUCGGCAACUACAUUUGCCUUACCCGGGUGGUAAUGUAUGGUACAAUCAUAAUCCUUCAGCAGUUCCAUCCAUCUCCUUUGCCUCAGGUUUAGAUCCCUUUGCUGAAAGAUAUAUUUCAAACUCUUGUGAUCUGUGAAGAUCUCACAAGUUUCACCAUACAAGUAGUGCCUCCAAAUCUUCAAGGCAAAAAUUACAACUGCCAUCUCUAAAUCAUGUGUAGGAUAGUUCUGUUCAUGCUUCUUCAACUGCCGUGAAGCAUAGGCAAUAACCUUGUCAUGCUGCAUUAGAACACAUCCUAACCCCACUCUCGAAGCAUCACAAUACACUGUGUAACCACCAGAACCUGAUGGUACUGCUAGAACAGGCGCUGUAGUCAAUCUCUCUUUCAACUCCAAGAAACUUUUCUCACAAGCUUCAGACCACUGAAACUUAACAUUUUUCUGCGUUAACUUAGUCAAUGGUGCAGAAAUUCGAGAAAAGUUCUCCACAAACCUCCGAUAGUAGCCGGCCAAACCUAAGAAACUUCUAAUCUCUGUCGCCGAAGUAGGUCUAAGCCACUGCUUAACUGCUUCAAUCUUUUGAGGAUCAACCUCAAUCCCAUUCCUUGACACUACAUGCCCAAUAAAUGCUACACUCUCCAACCAAAACUCACUCUUUGAGAACUUGCCAUACAACUGAUGUUCUCGCAGAGUUUGAAGCACCAUUCUCAAGUGCUGCUCAUGCUCCUCCCUAGACCUCGAAUACACCAAAAUAUCAUCAAUAAAAACUAUCACAAAUCGAUCAAUAAACUGGCCAAACACUCUAUUCAUCAAAUCCAUAAAAGCUGCUGGUGCAUUCGUCAACCCAAAAGACAUCACUAAGAACUCAUAAUGACCAUACCGAGUUCUAAAAGCUGUCUUCAAAAUGUCUGUCUCCCUAAUCCUCAACUGAUGAUACCCAGAUCGAAGAUCGAUCUUAGAAAAGAAUUGAGCUCCCUGCAACUGGUCAAACAAAUCAUCAAUGCGGGGGAGUGGGUAUCUAUUUCGAAUAGUCACCCGAUUCAGUUGCCUAUAAUCUAUACAUAACCUCAAUGACCCAUCUUUCUUCUUCACAAACAACACUGGGGCUCCCCAAGGGGACACACUUGGUCGGAUGAACUUUUUAUCCAACAAAUCCUGCAGUUGCUCCUUUAACUCCCUCAAUUCUGCUGGCGCCAUUCUAUAUGGUGCCAUUGAUAUUGGUUCAGUACCCGGAACCAAAUCAAUACAAAACUCAAUAUCCCUAUAUGGAGGCAAUCCAGGUAAGUCAUCGGGAAAGACAUCAAUAAACUCCCUAACUAUAGGGACUUGGUCUAAUUGAGGAACUUCUUUCUCUACAUCCACUAUAUAUGCUAGGUAGCACUGUACCCCUUUUCUAGCCAUUUUCCUCGAGAUAGCCGACAACAUAAUUGAUGGAGACCCAAUCUUAUCUCCUUGAAAUACCAACCCAACUUCUUCAUCUAGAUCAAAUAUUAUUUUCUUACCCCAACAAUUUACCGAAACCCUAUGCUUUGCCAACCAAUCCAUUCCCAAAAUCACAUCAAAAUCAACCAUAUCUAAGACAUUUAAGUCUCCCAUAAAAAUCUUAUCUCCAAUCUCUAUUUCACAAUCCAGAUACACAUACUUCACUAAUAUUAAUUCAUCUAAGGGAGUGGAGACUGAAAUGGGGGAUUUUAACAAGGUUGGUUGUUUAUCUAACCUCAUGGCAAAAUAUGGGGACAUAAAUGAAUGGGUUGCACCCGUAUCAAACAACACUUUUGCUUCAAAAGAGCAAACAGGAAGAAUACCUGAAACAACUGUGUUGGAUGCCUGAGCAUCCUGCUGAGUCAAGGCAAAAACUCUGGCAUGCCCCUGACCCUGCUGUAUCUGACCUCUAUCACCUGCACCCCGGCCUCUCUGACCACGGCCACCAAAACCUCUACCCCUAUGAGCCACAGACUGGCUCGUCGAUGGUGCCUGAAUAGGAUGCUGAACUGAAACAGAUAACCCCGAAGCUGACAACUGUCUCCUUGGGCACUCUCUGAUCUUAUGACCUAUCUGGCCACAACUAAAACAAGCCUCGGUCCUUCUGUAGCACUCUGCACUAGUAUGACUUCCUCCACAGUGCUGACAUGAAGAACUAUCACUAGGUGUAAUAAAUGAACUACGAGGUGCAGUCUGAACUAAACUCUGAGUACCACUACUGCCACUCUGACCGCCUGAGCCACUAACUGACGGUCUCUGUCUAAACCUCCUCUGAACCCAUGAGCCCUGACGACCACUUCGUCCCCUAGACGGACCUGCACUUAAUCCCUGUUGCCUAAAAGACUGACCCUCUUCUCUAGGCCUCUUAGACUGGCCUGCAGUCAUAUCCUCCAAUUCUCGCGCCUCUAUCAAUCUGGCGCUAUCAACAGCUAAAGAGUAUGAUGGAAACACCUGUGACACCAUCACCUUAUACAUAGAGGAUUUGAGUCCUCUAAUAAACCUCUUCACCCUUCACUCCUCAGUGGGUAGAAGAUGUUCUGCAUACCUAGACAGCUGAGUGAACUUCAGAUCAUACUCAUCCACUGUCAUGCUCCCCUGAGAUAGCCUCUCAAACUCAUAAAGUCGAGCAUCUCUGACGCUCUGAGGGAGAAACCUGUCUAAGAACAUGGAGCUAAACUCCUUCUAUAUCCACUGAGACUCUACUGGUCUUGCUCUUUUCCUAGACUCAAACCAAGAGAUUGCCACAUCUCCUUCCAACCUGAAUGAUGCCAAACUCACAGCUCGGUGGUCUGUACAUCCCAAAGCUUCACACCGUCGCCAAAUAUCAUCUAGGAACCUCUGAGGAUCCUCUGAACUAUCCAUCCCAGUAAAAAUAGGAGGUGCCAACUUCAUGAAGUCAUUCAACGGCACAUUAACUCCCUGAACAGUGUGGGAUGUCGAGGGUACAUCUCUAUCCCUCCUUCUAUCUCUCUCCAUAGAAAACUCUAUCCAGGUCCGCACAACCUGGCUAAGUUGCUGAAACUCUGUAACAGGUUCAGGGUCAGCUACCCCCACACCUGUUUCAUCAACAAUAUCUUCCUCUUCUAUCUCCUAAGGCUCUUCCUCCACUGGUGGAGGUACCUCCUCAACAUGUUGAGGCACGGGUGCACCGCGCCUCCUUCUCUGCCUUGCAGUUCUCAACCGCCCAAUAGGGACAUCAUCCUGAUCAUCCUCUACUCUAACAGUAUCAGCUAUUCGUCUAUUCCUCGACAUUUCCUAAAAUAAAAGUGAGAGCACUCAAGUCAUGCUAGAACAAUAGCAUGAUAAUUAUCACAGAAUUAUAGGAAAGCAUAUCUAUCACAAGGAAGAAGACAUGCUUGAUGAGAAUUCAGAAUUUCAAAGACAACAAACAAGACAAUACGGAUCUUAAUGCUCCACUUAUUAUGAAAUUAAUUAUAUUAUUGUUUCUUUAACCUAAAGCUCUGAUACCAAGUUUGUCACGACCCGAAUCCCGGAUCCAUGACCGGCACAUAGACAAGGUUCCCCUCCAAGGUUCCAUACCUAUGUGAACCCAAACUUACACACAAACUUAUCUUAACUCAAUCAGAGUUCAACGCAGCAUUAAUAACAAAAUCAACUUUAUAAUAUAACUGAAUUGUCUUAAUACAAGAGUUAAUAUAAUUCAUAGUUUUGGAGCACUAACUUGACAUAAAAGAAAAGUACAAAAUACAACCAAAGAGCAGGUUCUGAAGGUCCAACAAAAUGACCUGCUAUCAAGCUAUAAGCCUGAAAAGGAUAAAUAAUGAGAUGGUGAGUUCAACAACUCAGUGAGUAGAUAACGUUCAAUAUACACACACGAGGUAAUACAACAAUGAGAAAUAUAUAUAUACAAGUAUGGCUCUAGGUUCUUAUAGAAAGGUUUCUCAAAUAGGCCAUAACAAGAAUAUCAUAUGGUAAAGCUCGUCAGAAAAUCAAAAUGCAAUGAGCAUGAGGCUCCGUACUGUGGGAUGAUCAGUCCACACAGGUUGGUGACUCCCCCGACCAACUAGGGUUCAGAUACGAUGUGCACAAAGACUAACACUACCCUGUUAGCAUGGGUAUUUUGACUGACAUACCAUAGGUUCAUAAUCAUAUUCAAACAGACAUAUUCAUAUCUCAAGGCUCAACUCAUGACAUCAAUCAAAUGAGGAGCUAUCAAUUCAGAAGUCAAUCCCAAAUAUAUACUGGUUCAUAUCAAGAAUUCAGAUUCAACAAUUGAUCAUGUUUAAUCAAAACAAAGAUAAUAAUCAACAUAUAUAUUAUCAAGAAGCAUGAUCCAAUUCAUAUUAACAAAUCAAAUAUUUAUAAUAUUUCUCAUGCAUAUGGAAAAUUAUCCACUCACCUGACUCGAAAGCAACAAAACUCAAAGCUGAUAUCGAAGGAAAUCCUACUGACGUCCCGCCGGUAGAAUAUCAGGAUUAUCUGAAUAUAAAGGAGACAUAUUCAAGAACGACUCGAAAGAAUAUUUAACUUAUUUAAUACACUUAACUAAGGGUGUAUUCCAUAACCCUAUAUGUUUUUGAACUAACUAGUUAUCUUUCCUAAAAACCCAACAUUUAACGGUUUUCCCGAAAUCUAAUCCAUAAUAAAAACAACUAAUAAAAUUGAUAAUAAUUUACUAAAUAACCCUUAAUUAUUCAUCAAACCAAUCUGAAAAAGCUAAUAUUACAGCUAGGGACUAAUCUGUAAUUUAUCCUAUUUUUAAGGGUCAAAUUGCAACUUUUGUCUAAUUGGAGGACCAAACUGAAAUUUAUCAUAAAUCCAUGAAUAUACUGAAAUUCUGACCAUAACUAGUCCUCAUUUCUGUCCAGAUCAUCUCAUUAUACUCCAAGGACCAUUCUGGAAUUUUACCAAAUUUUUAGGGUCAAAUUGUAAUUUUUAUCAAAUUGGAGGACCAAAUUGAAAGUGUUAAAUUCUCUUAUCUAUACAAUAAUUCUGUCCAUAAUUCAUAUGUUAUUCUGUUCAGAUUCUCGGAAUAGGCUCCAGGGACCAAUCUGCAAAUUUUCCAAAGUUUGGGGACUAAACUGUAAUUUUCCAAAAUUGAGGGACCAAACCGAAAUUUUGUCAUCUUCAACCUCCAACCCAGAAUUUUUAACAGAAACCUACUGUUCUUGCCAAAUUUCUAACUCAACAUUCACCAUUUAGACAAUUCAUAACUCAAAAUUAUCACAAUCUUCCAUAAUCAACUCAUUAAUCAAUUACCCAUAACAAUCAACCUUAUAACAUUCAAUUUAAUUCAUCAAUUAAACCCAAAACACAAAUUUUCAAAACCCUAACAUUUAUCAAAACCAAAAUUAAAAGCUCAAUAAUACAAAUUUAUACAUUUAACAACCUAAAUCUUACCUUUUUACUUAUUUCCUCCAACUCCUUUCUAUUUCCUUUCUAAUUUCCCUCUUUUCUCUUCUUCUUCUUCUUUCUCCCUUCUCCCUUCUCUCUCACGGUUUUUCACUCAAAAUAUUCAGAUCUCUUCUUCUUCUUUUUCUUUCUAUUUAUAUUUCUUAUGUUUAUCUAAUUACUACAAUACCCUUAUUUAUUUAUACUCCAACUUUUAAGCCUACAAGGACUUUAUUGUAUUUUCCUACUCAUUUAUUCAAAACAUCACAUAAUGCUUGAUAACCUGGUUAAGAUAAUAUAUCUGGAAAGUAGUUAUUGAGGUUGUCUAUAUUACAAGACUUCUUGUUAGUUUUCUUAUUCCCAAUAAUACCAUUCUGACCCCCAAAACAGCUGAAUUUUGCUUGAAAUCCAAGAGUUAAAUAUCCGAUUACUAUUUUAUAUCAAUUCAUUGUCAUCUUUUGUUGUUAAUCGUGAAGGUUGUGACUUGUGAAUUUUUAUGAUUGUAGGAACCAAUUCCUGUCACACAACUUGUGAGGGAAACUGCUGCUGUCAUGCAAGAGUUUACUCAAUCUGGGUACUGGAACAUCUUUUAUACAUUCAAAGUGUUUCAGUGGUUUUAGUUGAUUUCCUUUGUAAUUUAGAUCUGAAUUUCAAUUUCCAAAGUUCAUAACCUUAGCCCUUAUUCUAAUAAGCCAACAACUCUCUCCCUAUGUUCCUGCAUCAGCAUGUCAACUCUUCAUGCUCUUAUUCUUGAAGUUUGAAAAUACUCAUCCUUUGUUUUUCCUCGCAGAGGUGUAAGGCCUUUUGGAGUAUCUUUGCUAGUCGCUGGUUUUGAUGACAAAGGUCCACAGCUGUACCAGGUGUCUUUGCUAGUCACUGUGUUAAUGUCUGAAGUCAUUAACUAUUUUUUUUUUAUCUGGAUUAUCCACUGCAGACUAUGUGGUAGCCUAGUAUUCUAGAAGCUGUAGGCCUUUGUGACUAUCAUGCACCCUUCUGUGUGCCCAGAGGGUUGAUAAGUUUUUGACCUUUUGUUUUCUUGGUUGAGAUUUGGAUGGAUUAUGACUCACUUGUGUUGCCUUUUUAAAAAUAUGUUAGACUCUUGCACUCAAAUCAUAGUUCUUCUGAUGAUGUUAUGUUUUGUAUUUGUUUGGCUAGGUUGAUCCAUCAGGUUCCUACUUCUCAUGGAAAGCCUCAGCAAUGGGGAAAAAUGUUUCAAAUGCAAAAACAUUUCUUGAGAAGAGGUAUUUAUUUGUUUUUGGUACCAUGAAAUGCAUUGAUUCUGCAAAAACUUCUAAACAUCUUCAUGGGUUCUCCUAGCUAGCAACAAAUGUGUUUCCACCUCCAGCCAUCAACUGCCAAACAUAUUCUUCAUUCAAAGAUCAAGCUACCUUCAAUUUUCAACUGCCAGUUUACUUUGUGCUACUCCCAUCGUUCUUUAUAUAAUUUAUUGUACUUCAUUCUCCCCAUCCAAGAAGAAUUGGAUUGUCUUUUUUUUUUUGAAAAAAAAAAGAAAAAAGAAAGUGAAAAAAAGAAUUGAAUGGACAGAAACAUGGUAAAUAUUUUGGUUUUUUGUCCACAUAUCUUCAUUUGAUUUGAACAACUUUUGUUUUCCCUAACUUAAUAUGUGCUCUGUAGAUACACUGAUGAUAUGGAGCUUGAUGAUGCUGUACACACCGCUAUCUUGACACUAAAAGAGGGGUACAUCACUUUAAAAUUUCCUCCACUUUUUAUUUUUGAAUUUGAGCAGUGGUGUUUUUUACAAGGUUUGGUAUAUAAAAAGUAGAAGAAAAAUUCAGUAGGUUUAAUAUACUUGCGCCAUGCACGAGCACCCGGUUCAUUACAUAAUUGAUUGAUAUACUUGUAAUUCAGCCAUUUAGGUAUUGCGAUUUUCUGCCACACAUACUGAGUAUCGUAGGUAAAAUGAAUUCUAAGUAACAGUAGUCUAGUUGGGGUCUUCAGCCUUGAGAACUUAAAUUGGCUCUCAACACUUCAGUUAGUAGUUCAGGAGAUUAAAUUAUGUGAGAUACUGUUUAAGUGAAAAUGAAUGAAAGUUUCUCAACCCAGUGUCAAUCAAAUGUACUUGCAGGUGCUUAAAGGUUCCUUUUCUUUCCUCUUAGUGAUUUUAAGUUGUUAAUUUGUCGAGUCUUGCUUCUAUAAUCAGAGUGAUGGUGGAUUAGUGAGCAUAAUCUUAGUAUUUGCAAAGUGGUCAAAGAGAGAUAUAAAUGAGCAUUUUAAAGUUUCUUACAAGUUCUGAGUGUGUCCCUUGUAACCUUACAAGAUUGUUUGUGUUUGCAGAUUUGAAGGGCAGAUUUCUGGGAAAAACAUUGAAAUUGGGAUAAUUGGUGCUGACAAGCAAUUCAGGCAUGCUCUUUCUUGACCUUUUUCCUUAUUAAACUUGGUAAUAGUGUCACGUAAUUUCAAGCUUAGGAUGAGUUCCAGAAGUAACUUGCAGGAUGCACAUUUUUGUUAACACAGUUCAUAACUAGAUAAAAUCUGAUAUCUAAAAUCUUUUGGAUCUCACCAAUUUCAUAUAUGGCCUUCCACUUGUGGUUUCAAUUUUGAAGUUCUGAUUUUCACGCACUCUUGCUCUAGUUUCAGUCUGACAAUUUACACAUGAGACUCGUGUUCAAAAUGGCCAAUCCACUCUUUCUUUGAAUGUUUAAGCUUCCUUGGAAGAAGUUAUGUGUGGCAUGACCAUGGCAAUCUUAUCCCUUGUGCUUUCUUUACUGCAGGGUACUAACUCCAGCCGAAAUUGAUGAUUAUUUGGCUGAAGUGGAAUAGACAUUGUAUUUUUUGGCUAAAGUGGAGUUCUUCCCUGUAUUGACACCAAUCGAGAUACAUGUGUUACUUUCCUCUGGAAUUGCUUGAAUCAGUUGCUUUUAGCCGAAGUUUCUAUUAAUUCCAAGUUUUCAGAACUGUAAUGUGGAAAUGUUAUAGGACUUCUCUCCAAUCUUAGAUGGCUUCUAAAGUUUUGCAUCAAUAUGAUUUCCUAUAGGAUACGUUUGACAGAGUGCAGAAAAUUGGUCUUUUCAAUUAUAUCUAUCUCCUCUCAAUGCUUGACCUGUAAUAUGCCCGUUCUUAUUUAAUUCCAAUGGAGCUUCGAAGAGGGAAAGAGAGGGGCCAUGGAAUAUGGAUAUCGAAUUGCAACUCAAUUGACACUUCAGAGCCUCGUCUUUGCAACAAGUCUCAUGCUGGAGUUUUUGCUGUUAAAUUAUACUAAUAAUAAUGACAAUAAUUUGUCCAUUGUGUUUAAACAAAUUAACCUUGGUCUAUUUUUUUUAUGAAAAAUAAACUUUUUUAGAAUUGAUUAUUCUAGCUAUCAGCUACCGUCACAAUAUAGAACCCCAUGCAACCUCAAAGACACCACGAGGCUACAAGAAUGCUAUUGUUUGACUCCUUAAGUUCGUUAGAGAUAUUUUGAGGCUUUUGUCCCUUAGUAAACAGAGAAAAACAUAAGCUACUUUUGUCUGGCAGUGCUGGUCUUCACCCACGUAGUCCAUUAUCCAAGAAAACACUCUUCACAUAUCUUCUUGCUUGCUGAAUGUUUACAGCUACCCAACUCCAAACUCCUCUUUUAUGCUUUCAUGUAAGUCGUAUCCUUCCUUCCUUCCUCUCUUUCUCCUCUUGCUGGAUAACAUUGCUUGUUCAAGGAAUUUCUUGUACUGGGAAAUGGGUUUCAAUGGAAUUGCUAAGUAUCAACGUUCACUUGACAGAGGAUGUCUAAAUUGUUUUGUGUUCUUGUUAGUUAAAACAUUUUCGCAUUUUGUUGGCUCUCAUAUGUAUUGAACGAGCAAUCAUCAUUAUCUGAAAAGUCUUACUGUGAAUUCAGAAAUUAUAAGAUGAAGGACCAGUUUUAGCUGUCAAAGUGCUAGGCUUAUCGUUGUUGAACUCUAACCAGUCUUCAACAGUUGUGGCCUUGUUUAUCUUGCAAAUUUUGAUUUUUGUAGUUUAAUCAGAUAGUUUAGACUAAUAUUUGAUUCUGUAAUGAAAAUACAACCUAUACUCACAGCAAUUAAGAAUUAUUGCGAAAGAAAGAGAGAAGAUAUUUGGUUUAGAAAGGGAAAGUUGACAACUUUUCUUCUUCUUUUUUAACUGUGUAUUCUGGUUUGCAUUUCAGGUGUUUGCUAUUGUGAUUAAAAGUAGUUUUAGUGUCUCUCUUUGUCCAAUUAUUUUGCAUUCCAAAGCAUCCUUUGCAUGGAUUUUAUUUGGUUGCUUCCUCUGUGUAAUGGCUUUAAAUUAAGAGGUGUGUAUGUUUGUUGCUGGCAAUUGUGUGUUUACUUGAUUAGUUUUUGCAGGUUGCUUGUUAGAUGCACACUGAAUCAUAUUUUUAUAGAAUCAAGUAUCCGGAAUGGUCAUUUCAGACGCAGAGAAAAGAAUUCCAGUAGUGGAGAUGUUAAAAAGUCGAAAAGCGACAGGGUCUAUAUCGACAAACAUGGCAAAUGGCGAAUCUUUGAUCACAAAAAGAUGUCCAGGAAACGAUGUAAUACGGAGUAAUUCACUUCGUGCUCCUACAUAUAACUGCUGAAGCAAAUAUGGCUUUAAUUAUUAAGUCGUCUUUUUUACCUAGGUGGCUCUUUGAGGGGACAAGGAUGGAAAUAUGGAUCUGGAUUUGUUGAUGGAAUUUUCCCAGUGCUAGGUCCUGUUGCUCAUCAGAUUCUGAACUUUGUGCGGAAAGAAGUGGAUCCGAAUAAUGUUUGGGCUGCUCUUGACACUCUUCCUGUCACUCACGAGACUUGGGAUGAUCUUAUUAAUGUAGCCGUCCAACUUCGUUUGAAUAAACAAUGGGAUCCGAUUGCUUUGGUGAGUAAAUCGUGCCUCAAUUCUUUCAUCGUGUAAGGUGGUAGGCGAUGGAUUAAACCACAUUGCACGCAAAUAUUUUUGUGGCAGGAUGUUUGCAUAGUAUUUUUCUCUUCAAUCAUUAAGACUGAACCCUCGAUUGUUCAAAUCUCCUUUAAGUGGUUGGUGCUGCAGUUGGUGUUCGGAAUUUUCAUAUACCAGCAUUUUCCUCCAACUGAAUGAAACAAAUCUCUUUACUGUCUCUAUUUAUUAUAUCGACAUUUUUAAUAUCGUGUGUUCUUAAUUCUUAAUAAUCUUGUUGGGUGUAACUCUAAAAUUUCCAGAUAUGUCAAUGGAUACUGUACAAGAGCUCCUUCCAGACAGAUGUCAUGUGCUACAAUUUACUAAUAGAUGCUUAUGGGCAAAAAUCUUUGUACAAGAAGGCAGAAGAGACAUAUGUUGAUCUUCUUCAAGCCAGGUGUAUCCCUACUGAAGACACCUAUGCCCUCCUUAUAAAGGCUUACUGUGCAUGUGGAUUGUUAGAAAAGGCUGAAGCUGCCUUUGUUGAUAUGCGAAAGUAUGGCCUUCCUCCAAGUAUGUGUUUACCAAUUCAUUUCUUCUUAGCUUUUAGGGAAAUUGCAUUUUCAAGAAGUUCUUGGACUACAUCAACUAUUUCUUAUAAAACAAAAUUUCCUCAACCUGUAAGAUUCUUUGCCUCAAAAAUUGAUUUUUUGUGGGGUUAAAUUCGUUUUAAAUUUUGAAACCUUGCUCAAUAAUUGCACAGGGCUGUAUUUCUUUUUUCUUUUCGGGGGUGAAGUAUACUAAACGUAGGACAAGAGAAGGUGGGCUCAUGGUCUGCAUAUUUCUUGUUGCUGCUAUACUAGUAGUGAUUACUACUCCUUAUCUACAUCACCAUGCUUAGAGAAUGGUUGAUUAAACCAAGAGGGACCCCUUACUAAUUUAGCUAAACCGGAACUGGAUUAGGCUAGAGGCUCCUGGAUGACAAACUUGCUUCUGUAGCUUUCCUUUAUGAGAUUGCGUGGGUUAUUUCUCUUCUUUUUGUGGUGGUGAAAUACAGGGCAUUAGUUCUGCUUUUGUGUUUCGUUCUCUUAUUUACACAUCUCAGAUUUUCAUUUUUCAAGCUGUUCUGUUGAUACACUUGCAUGCACAUUCAAGGAAGUGAAAAGUGAGCGUAUACUCCAAUUUUGGCCAGGUGAAAUUGUAUACAAUGCUUAUAUUGAUGGGUUAAUGAAGGCUGGAAACCCUCAAAGAGCAAUUGAGAUCUUUCAGCGAAUGAAAAAUGAUGGCUGCCAGCCCUCUACUGACACCUAUACACUGUUGAUCAACCUUCAUGGGAAGGUACGCUCAGUGGUAUUUGGUUCUGAAUUAUUCUGCAAAUCUGAUCUUCUUGAAAUGCCACUGGUCCCAGUAGAAAAUUAUUUGUAACUCGUACGUCUACAAGUCUACAGUGAUACAACAAACAACUUGAAAUAUAUGCAUUUAAUUUCAAACAAUUACCAGACUAAAUUCAAAGAUAUGGUUAUUAAUUCUGAUAACCCUGUACAACAGUGGUGUUUAGGAUCCUUAAAAACUCAUUUUGCUAAUCUUUUUCCUGUACACAGGCAAGUCAAUCUUACAUGGCCUUGAAGUUGUUUAACGAAAUGAGAAGUCAAAAAUGCAGACCAGAUAUCUGCACAUACACAGCUCUGGUGAACGCGUUUGCUAGAGAGGGACUCUGUGAGAAGGCAGAAGAAAUAUUUGAGCAGAUGCAACAAGAUAAGCUUGAGCCUGAUGUGUAUACUUACAACGCGCUCAUGGAAGCUUACAGGUUAGUAUCAUAGAAUGAUAUGGUGUUUCAAUAAUCUUUCAAAGAAAAUGGAAAAGAAUACUGGAGGUGCUGCUUCUUGCUUCCUAGAGAUUCCCAAUAGAACUGAUGAUAUUUAACUAUCUUGUCCUCACAGUCGUGCAGGUUUUCCUUACGGGGCUGCAGAAAUAUUUUCACUCAUGCGGCACAUGGGCUGUGAGCCGGAUAGAGCUUCAUUUAACAUCAUGGUAGAUGCGUAUGGGAGAGCUGGCCUUCAUGAGGGUAAGAUGCUUGAACCAAAUAGUAUCAAUGUACUUUAUUAAGUGAGAAUUGGAAAAAGAUUAAGCUCCAGAGAAUUUGGGAACAGUUUGAGCAUGUAAUGGUUUAAAAACGUUCCGAUCAACUAUACGAACUUGAAGGGAUCUAUAUUGCAACAUUUGGAUUAUAUUUUGGAACAGUGUUCAAUUUUAUUCUGGAGAUCUGCCAUAAUCUUUCUAGGAUUUCCUAGGAAACAAGAUAAAGUUGUAUGAGAUAUUAUCAGGCUAUCAGCAUUUCAUCCGUUUGCGACACCUUUCCUACUUGGAAGAAGUUCCUCUUGUUUUUCGUAUAUGCUCCUCGUAAUUUUGGCUUAAUGAUUUGGCUGCUCCUAUUUGCUUUUUAGAUGCUCAAGCGGUAUUCAAUGAGAUGAAGCGACUAGGAAUAACCCCUACAAUGAAAUCACACAUGCUACUUCUCUGUGCCUACUCAAGAGCAAGAAAUGUGGAUAAAUGCGAAGAAAUUGUUAACCAGAUGAGCGAAUCUGGGCUUGAACCAGACACGUUUGUCCUCAACAGCAUGAUGCACUUGUAUGGCCGCCUGGGCCAAUUUGAAAAGAUGGAGGAAGUUCUAACUGCAAUGGAAAAGGGACCUUAUGGAGCUGAUAUCAGUACAUACAACAUCUUAAUCAACAUAUAUGGACGAGCAGGAUUUUUCGAGAGAAUGGAAGGUAUUUUCCAAUCACUUCCAACCAAAAAUCUGAAACCUGAUGUUGUGACUUGGACUUCAAGAUUGGGAGCCUACUCAAGAAAGAAACUAUACGCAAGAUGCUUGGAAAUCUUUGAAGAAAUGAUUGAUGCUGGAUGUCACCCUGAUGGAGGAACUGCCAAUACUUCUAUCAGCAUGCUCAAGCGAAGAUCAAAUUGAACAGGUUACCACUGUAAUCAGAACAAUGCAUAAGGGCAUGGAGGCUGCUCUUCCUGCAUGAUUAAUGUGUAACAGUCCGGCAGCGCAUAAAGGAGCAAGACCAAGUUGAAGCCGGGGAAGAAAUGAGAGAGGCAUGUUGGAGAAGACUUACCUGCAGCAAAAAGAUAAGGUGAGCACGUGUAUGGUCAAGAUUGGACAAGAAGCACUUACGUGGAGGGCUGAGAUGAAGAAGCUCAUGCGGCUGACAGCUGACAAGGGAGUAAGUUCAAAGGCAAACGACACCGUUUGGGAGAAGAAAAAGAAUCCAAAUACAACACAGAUAAAUAAAACAGCUGUCAAUUCUAUCUGUUAUUCUUAAUUCCCAACUAACCGAGAAUUAUAAUAGAAGGGGGAGGAAGGGGCUGCAGAUAGGCAGGAAAUUGCUUUGAAGCAAAUCUCAUUCACCUAGGAGGCCCGGGCUACCUCGAAGCUGCCCAUAAAUCUAGAUUAGGGUUUAUCAACAUUGCAUUGUUCUUUCAAUUCGAGUUCUUUAAGAUAUUUCAUUUCAGUUGUUAUUUCAAUUUCCCCAGUUUUCUUUUUUUUUAAACCUGUAAGGCUCAGGUCUAAGAAAAGCUAUAAUAAGAAUUCCAGUAUUUUUCCCUUACUUACCAAGUUCAUUACAAGUGGUAUCAGAGCCACGAUUCUCGGAUGGCUGAAGGAACAAGAGUUUCACAACUGAUAGAAACAAUAUCAGGGAUGAAACAACAACAGGAGACGCAACAAUAAAACCAACAGAAUCAGCAGCAAAUAUUGGAAGACAUAGUUCAGCAAUUAAGAAACAUGUCUACCAGGAUGGAUCAGAUGGCUAAGGCCCAUGGGCUUCCCCCCAAUUCUCCCACUAGGUCAGUCAAUGGAAAUACAAGGCAUGAAGUAGUACCACAAGAAGGAAUUCAGCAGGUUCAACUCAAGUCAAUCAGAUUGGAGUUUCCCUGGUUCAAUGGAGAUGAUCCUAUUGGUUGGGUAUAUAAAGCCAAUCAAUAUUUUAACUUUCACAACACUCCAGCUCAACACAGAUUGUUUAUAGCCAGUUUUCACAUGGAAGGAAAGGCCAUAACAUGGUAUUAGGAACUAGAAGAAACCAGAAUUCUCACCAGUUGGGAGGCCUUCGUUAAGGCCCUCCAAAUUCGAUUUGGAACCUCAUCUUAUGAUGACCCCAUGGAGGCCCUCAUAAAUAUCAAACAGACAUCAACAAUAGAGCUCUACAAAACCCAAUUCGAAAUGCUUUCGAACCGGGUCAGAGGGCUGUCUGACUCUCACAGGCUCAGCUGCUUCCUAGGUGGAUUGAAGGAGGAGAUAAGAAUGGGAGUACGAAUGCUAAACCCUCAAAAUUUAGUGGCUGCUUAUGAAUUAGCAAGGAUGCAGGAGGAAAAUCUGAUAAUCAUGAGGAAAUCAUGGAGACCUAGUUUUAUGGGGUUUCAAGGCCGAAACCCAACACCAACUCAGCCCAGGGUUGAAAAUAAACCAGUUCUAGUACAGAGACUCACCCCUCCAUAGAUGAAGGAAAAAAGAGACAAGGGGCUUUGCUUUAAACGUGACAAUAAGUGGGGACCUGGCUAUAGGUGUGGAGGACCCAAGAUAUUCUUGAUAGAGGAAUUAGAGGAGGAGAUGAAGGAUAAAAAUUUUGUUCCUGAAGACCUGAUUGAUUUAGGAGACCCUCAGGAAGAAGGCAAGGAGGGAGUCGACAUAUCCCUCCAUGCAAUCAUUGGAAGUCCAAAUCCUAAAACUAUGAGCGUGUUAGUUAAGCUAAGUGGCCAUAAUUUCGUGGCCUUAAUUGACACAGGAAGUACACAUAAUUUCAUACAUCCAAGGGUAGCAAGAAGAGUAGGGAUGAAGGUUUUAAAACACAAGCCUAUUGGGGUGAACAUUGCAGAUGGUUCCAAGCUGUAGAGUGAGGGAAGCUGCUCAGAUAUCAAACUGAUGAUUCAAAGAGAUCAGUUUGUCACUCGGGCUUAUGUCAUACAGCUGGGAGGAUGCGAUAUGGUGUUAGGAAUCCAGUGGCUCAAAAGUUUAAGGCCUAUUCUCUGGGACUUUUCAGCCUUAAAAAUGGAAUUCCAAAAGGAGGGGAAGAGGGUCUUGAUUUGUGGAAUGGGAGUGGAGAAAUCAGAAGUAGACUGCAGCCCAACCUUUUUACAAGAAUUGAGAAGAGUCGAAGAAGGACUGAUUUUGCAAAUUUAGGAGCUGGGAUCAGUCUAGAAUAAAAUUCCAGAACAGAUUGAGAAUCUGUUGCUAGAAUUCAUGGAAGUUUUUCAAGAGCCAAAAUGAAUCCCACCUAGCAGAUCACAUGAUCACUCUAUACUGUUGAAAGAAGGUACCUCCCCAAUAAGUGUACGUCCUUACAGGUACCCCUACUACCAAAAAUCUGAGAUAGAAAAACUAAUUAAGGAGUUGUUGGUAAUGGGUACUAUAAGACUCAGCCAAAGCCCUUUUUCAUCGCCAGUCCUACUAGUUAGGAAGGCUGAUGGGUCAUGGAGAAUGUGUGUGGACUAUCGUGCCCUCAACAAGGAAACUGUGAAAGACAAGUUUCCCAUACCAGUUGUGGAAGAAUUAUUAGAUGAACUACAUGGUUCUCAAAAUUUUUCCAAGUUAGACCUCCGAUCAGGCUUCCACCAGAUCGGAAUGAAGGAAGAAGAUGUCCCCAAAACAGCCUUUAGAACUCAUAAAGGGCACUAUGAAUUUCUGGUGAUGCCUUUCGGCCUCACAAAUGCCCCUUUCACUUUUCAAGGAUUGAUGAAUGAUAUUUUUCGACCCUAGUUUUAACAUGAAUAGGGUUUUUUUAUAUAAUUUAUGAUAUAAAGACAAAAAGAAUUCAAGGAGAGGAUUUUCCAUGAAUAUGUAAAAUAUGUAAUUGGAUUGAAAUCUUAUCAUAGAGCAAUAUCUUAGACACUUUCUAUGGAAAAUAUGUAAAGGUGCCCAUCAAAACAUUUUCCAAGAAAAAAUAAUACAGUAAUUAUUUUUAUUGUUAUUGUUGUUGUUAUUAUUAUUAUUAUUUUAUGCUCGUAUAUACGAUUAGGAAGUUUUAACAAAGAAAACCGAAAAAGGCAAAACAAGAGUUGCCAAUUCUCUUUAAACUGAAAUAUUAAGGGUAAAAUAAUCAAUAAAAAGUUGAAAAGGAUUAGCGAGUGAGUAUUUGGUGUGAAUUCAUUUACUUGCACCACCUCACCAAGGCCUGGACAAACAGCCACUCCGAGGAUCCAUGUCGUUUAUUCAAUGCGCUUAAUCUUGUGUGUGUGAGUGUCUAUAGUGUUUUCAGUGCCUCUGCUUAUUUAUAUUUUUCAACGGAAGUGUCUCUAAUUUUAAUUUUUCUAUUUUAUUUCUUGUACUUCCAUUACUUUUUAUAUAUAUUUAAUCGCUGUUUUUAUUUUUUAAUUGAUGGUUGUAUCUAUAUUUUUCACCAUUAGAUGUCUAUGUUUUACAGUUAUUAAUGACAUGUAUAUUAAUGGGCAUGUAUCAUCCUUGUUAUGGAAUUCAUCAUUCAUAAAAUCUAAGAUAAAAGAAAACCAAAAUUUAAAAAUACAUGGAAGGAGAAAAAAGAAUUAUUAUUUUUUCAUCAUGAAACAAUGACUUCGUAUGUAUAGUAAGCAGCGGAGUGAGGAAUUGUAGUUUGGGAAUGUCGAAUUAGAUAAAAGAUUUUAGAGGGAGGGCCAAAAUUUUAAAUUUUCUAUUUUUAAAGAUAAAAAUCUGAUUUAUUGAAGAAAAAAAACACCUUGCAGGACCCUGCCCCUGCCAGCCCCUGUAAUUCCUCCAUGUUCGUGUGGCUCUUGAACAGUGUUGGUGGUGCGUGGAAUAUCACUCCAUGGCCAAGGCACAAUCAACGGUGGCCCCUCUUACAACGACACGGACGGCGAAAACGAUCGCUUGCAUGUCCAAAGGUUCACCUCUUGGGAUAUUUGUGUUGAUCGCUACAUUACCAAAAUAGCUUCUCCAUUUCUUCAUGAGAGCACCGCACACAAAUCCAGUCUUGAAAAUAGCAUGCCGUGGAUAAAUUAGAGGGAAGGUAUUUAGUAAUUUGGAGUGGAGAUAGAAACAAAAAUUGUUGAGAGGGAAGGAUCGAUGGAGCAUUGAGUGGGAGAGGGAGAGAGAAGAGUAGAUUAAGCGAUAAGGGGAUUGGCGUCUACAUGUCCCUGUCCGAUCUUUGAGCCCCAUGUGAAGCAGAGGCCAUUCUCGACGUUUUCCUUCUGUUGGCUAUUUUCUCUUAGUGCCAACAAUUGAGUCUCGACGGAAUCGUCGAUCUCUUCUUUCCUAUCUUACACGUUUGAAGGGUAGACAAUUCAAUGUACUAAACAUGAGAAUUUCAACCAUGUUGCUUGCUUUCAGAUCUUCUACAUCACAACCUUGUUUAUACAGGGGACAUGAACGCUAGCUAUUAUUAUAAAAAAAAAAUUCCAAAAUCUCAACCUGAUACCGCAAAAGGCCAUCAUCUGUAUCUAGAUAUACACUAGUUAUUUAACAUGCAAUUCGCACCGGGUUGCAUAAUUAUUAUUUGCAAUUACCAUCCUAGUGAAGAUCAAGCAACUGUUUUCUGCAAAUUCACAAGAAGAAAUUUAGCACCAAAUAUUAUCAUUAUCCGCGCAAAUAAAACCUCAGUUUCAGUGGAUUAAGUCCAAAUAAAUGAGAGAAUGGUAGACUUGGAAGCUAAACCAUUCAUCUAAAAGAGAUGAUACCCAUCGAUUUUGUGGAUUAAAUCCAAAUAAAGUUAUCAAAACCCAGCACAAAAAAUCUUCAACAAUAAAUAUGAUUUCUGCUAGUGAAAGGCAAGCCACCUGGACCUGGUGCCUGUGCUUUCUAAAUGCCAUCACAGCCCCAUUCAAAGAACUUCCAGACAGAGGAUUCUUCAGACCAAUAGAUUUACUAACGGAAGACAAUAAAUUCAAACUGUGAUAUCAGAAUCAAUGUAGAUACCUCCAUAUUUGCAUAAUCCAACAUAAAAAGGACAACUUUUAUGUUUUGGCAGCGCCUCUACAGGAAUUAUACAUAAGUGGUUGCCCCAUUCUAAGGAAACGUUACGGUAAGGAGGAGAUGGGUGAAGGUUGGCAAAAGAUUUCUCACAUCCCUGACAUUUAUUUUGAUGAUAUAUUAUUAUAUGUGAGAAAGACAGAACUCUUUAAUUAGAACCGGCAGGAGCAUGUAAAUUCUUCUACCAGUGUUAAUUCUUAACGGUAUAAUAUUUUACUAUAUUUUAACAAUCCAUUUUAAUUAAUUAUGUAAGUCAUAGUUAGGUCACUGGGAUUUUUGUCAUUCAGAAAAUGGAAUGCUCAUUUUAACAUCUACCAUUCAUUGGGUUGAUUUGGUUAUGACACGUUUGCUUUUGGUCUGUGUUUGACAGCUUGGGCUUAGAAGAUACUGAAGAGCUACUUCAGAGUGGCUUCCGAUUUACUUUGUGCAUUUGAAGAUUUUCCCUUAAUAUUUUUGGAAUCAAAUCGAAGGGCAUUCUGGUAUAAUCAAAUGGAGGAUUUCAUUCAGUGUUGUAUUAAGCACCGUAUGUUUCAUACACCUCCUUACUGUAAUUGGAUUGAAAUCAUUUGUAAUCUAUUGUUGACUUGGAUUUUAUUUCCUACUUCCCAUUUAUUCUCACAUCCUCUCUCUCUCUCUCUCUGUUUUUUAUUCUUUUUUAAUUAUUGUGCACCCCAAACUAGAUUACCUUGUGUACCCCAAACUACAUUACCUCUUAAGGAAUUAUUGUUAACCCCAACUUACAUGUAAAUGUGCAAUCGUUGAUGGAUCUCGAGUUGGCGGAAUCUCUUUAAUGAUUUAGUUCUUAAAAAUAGCUAUUCUUCCGUAAAUGGUGUUCAUAAAUAUGUCCAUGACAUAAAAAAAAAAAGAAAAAGGAUAUUAACUAAUACAUGGUUUCUAUUUCAAGAGCCAUCAUUAAAAGUACAAAAUUCUGAUUGCCAAAUUCUUCUCUACCAAAUAAAAGUUUGAUUAAAUUGAAUUGAAUAUAUAGCACAAUUGAAUAGCAUCAAAUACUCAAUGGAUCAGCUAAAAAAAACAAAUUACCAAAACAUAGAUUCUAAACAUAAUAACAAUUUGAAAUGGUAGAGGAUAUUCAGUCGACUUGUGUAUUUAGCAUCGUACACCUUAUGCCCUAGAGUAGUAUUAGGAUGAGUUCUCUUCUUGAAAAUAUUGUGCACCCUAAUCCCACAUGGAAGUGUGUGAUCAACCCCAUGAGAAUCAUUAUACAUCCCAACUCACAUGCAAAUGUACAAUUCCUUGUGGACCUCGGGUUGUGGGCUCUUCCCUAUGAUUUGGUUCGUGGGAGUGGCUAAUUGUUUACGUAUCCAAGAAUAUAUAUGCGAUCUAAAAAAAUAUAAAAAAGGGGAUAUUAACUGAUACAUGGUUUCCAGUUCAAGAGCCAUCAUCAAAAUUACAAGAUUCUUAUUGCCAAAUUCUUCUCAACCAAAUAAAAGUUUCAUUAAAUUGAAUUGAAUAGCAUCAAAUAUUCAAUGGAUCAGCUAAAUAAAAGGUACUGUUUGUAAAAACAAAUUUAAUAUAUCUCAAAAUUAAGCAGAUUAUUUUGGUAAUUAAAAUAAGAACUUCAAAAAAUAUAAUAAAGAAAUGAAUUAAUAUGGCCUGACGUAGUUAAAACAUAUCGGUAGACUCGAGUAACUUGUUUAAAUAUUAUUGGUUUUUUUUUUGAAAAAAUAAUUUUGGUCAAAACGAUGUUAUUUUAAAUUUUUUUAUAAAAAAAUUAGAUUAACUUGGGUUAACCCUCCUAUAUUAUACCUAAUUCUUGACCCGGGACGUUGAACCUCAAGUAAAGUUUUAAAAACGUUGUCCCUAUAAUUUUUUUUCUAACAAUGUAGCACUAUAUUCACUUUUCAUUUCUUUAAUUUCACCAUUUUUAUCUUGAUUUAAGUUUUUUUAAUUUAAUUUAAUCAAUUUUAUUAUCGGUUAAAUUUCUUAUAUUUUAAUAGCCUAAAAAAAUUAUAAUAAGUGGUUUACAUUACCAUACAACAAAAAAUUAAUAGCAUACAUAUCUACAGUCAUGAUUGAUUAAAUAUUGAAAAAACUUAUCAAGAAAAUUAAUAUAAUCAAGAAUAAAGAGUUCAGAAUUUUUGUUAAAAUUCAAAAAAAUGGUGAAAUGUCUGAUUUUUAGGGAUAAUGUCAACAAUUUCAUUAAAUCUAAAAAAGUUAUGAAAUCUCCUAUCUUCAAGGAUUAACGUGAAAGUUUUUGUUAAAAUUCAAGAAAUUGUGAAAUCUAUUGUCUUUAGGGAUUAAUGUAAAAAAAAUUAAAAAAUUAAUGAGACCUCCUAUUUUAGAGAAUGAAGAUGGCAAAAUUUUUGUUAAAAUUCUUUUAUUCAUAACAGUUGAGAUUAAAAUAAUUUAGAAAAACAUAAAUAAUGGUAAUUUUUCAUUUAAAAAAAUAUGAUAAGGAUGAUGUUUAACCUAAUACUUGAAUCUUUAAAAAACUAAUAUCAAUUUUAGAAUUUUUAAAUUUUUUUAAUUAUUAGAUAACAAUUCUUUUUAUUGCGUUAGUCACGGUGUGUUGCUAAAAUUAACAUCAUAUUUUACUAUCAUUACACUAUAAAAAAACAAAAAACAAUAUGUAACGGCUCUUCAAAAUAUACUAGCUUUGAUACCCGCGCGAUGCCGUGGGUUAUUUUUUUUUGCAUAAAAAAUAUUAAAAAGAAUAAAAAUUUAAAAAUCUUGGGUUUUUCUACAAAGUUAUACCCAAGAAUCUUGGGUUUGGCUGCAACGCCUGACCUAAGAGUAAUAUUUAUAAUAUUAAUAAUAAAAUUAAACUUGCAUGACCCAAGUUUAAGUGAGUCUGGCUGUAACACCGGACCCAAAAAUACUGGAUGUAGGUCUAGCUAUAAGGUCGUGUCACAAAAGUGUGAUAAUUAAAUAGAUUAAUUACAAAAAACAAAAAAAAUCAACAGGAAGGAAAAAACUAAUGAAGAAAAAGAAAAAAAAUUGAAUUAAUUGGGUUAACCUUUUAAACCAGGUUAUCCCGUAAAACCUGAGAUAUGCGUUAUCAACGUUUGAUAACUAAAUAGAAAAAAAAAUGACGGGUUUACCUAGAAUUAACCAGGUUAACCCAUCAAAUCAAGUUAACCCGUCAAGCCCAGGAUACGUGUCAUGAAAGUAUGAAAGUCUAAUAAUUAAAUAGAAAGAAAAUUAACUUUAACAAACUAAACUAAAUGAAAAAAAUAACUCGUCAAAUCAGGUUAACCCAUCAAACCCGAGAUUCGUAUUAUGAAAAUCUGAUAACUAAAUAAAACAAAUUUAACAUUAACAAACUAAAUCAAACAAAAAAAAUUCAUUAAAAAAAUAAAAAGAAAAAACAAAAGAAAAAAACAGUUAUAUAAUAUAAUACAAUAUAAUUAUAAUUAUAAUGAAAAAACGUGGGGAAAAUUUAAAAAAAUGGAAAAAAAGUGGGGAAAGCUAAAGCUAAAGCUAAAUUCUCAACCAACUCAAUAUUUAAAAAAUAAAUUUAACAAAGAUAAUUUAAAAAAAAAAACAUGUGGGGGAAACACUAUAGCCAAACAAAAACCAUGUAAGGGAAACACUGUAGUAAUCCAUAGUAUUUUUUUUUUAAAAAAAGCUACAAAGCUAAUCUCUCAACCAGUUCAAUAUAUAAAAAAAACGGAAAAAGGCUAUCUAAAAAAAAAAAGUCAAUUUUGGGUAAAAGAAAUGAAAAAAAAUGUACAAAAAAGGAAACAAAAGCGAAAAAAAAACACGUGGGGAAAGCUACAGUGUUUUAAAGAAAAAGACAAAAAAACUAAAUUUUCAACCAGCUCAAUAGUAAAAAAAUAAAAUCAACAAAAAUAAUUCUGAAAAAAAAAAAAACAAAAAAAAUAUGUAAAAAAUGACAAUUUUGGAAAAAAAAAAACAUAUGGGGAAAGUUAAAGCUAGAUUAUCAGCCAGCUCAAUAUUGAAAAAAUAAAUUCGAUAAAGAUAAUUUUUUAAAAAAAAUAUAUGGGGAAACACUGCAGCAAAACAAAAACUAUAUAGGGGAAACACUGUAGCAAUCCAUAUUGUUUUUUUUUAAAAAACUACAAAGCUAAAUUCUCAACCAACUUAAUAAAAAAAAAAAAAUCUAAAAAGAUCAUUUUGAAAAAAAAAAAAGAAUAAAGAAAUCAUAAAAAAAAGAGAAAACAAUGUAUGAGAAUAUUAUAGCAAUCCACAACGAGAUGAUUUGCCCGCGCGCUGCCGCGGACUUAUAAAACAAAUGCACUUGAUAGUGUUAUAAUUGUGAACCAGCGCUAGAUAAGUAAUAGAAAUUAAAGGUAUGAUGGAGCAAAUAUUUCAUGACGGAAAAAAAAGUUAUGUUGGUGAUCAAAAACUUAGAGACUGAACAAAAUGAUUUGUAGCAAUCUACAGUGUUUUGUGAGGAAAGAUACAGUGAUUUCGCCACAUGAUUUAGCUUUUCAGUUAAUAAAAAGCAAAAAAAAAUACAAAGCUAAACUCUCUACCAACUUAAUAUUAAAAAAAAACCAACAAAGAUAAUUUUGGAAGAAAAAAAACCCAUGAGAAAAAACGUUGCAGCAAUUGACAAUGUUUUGUGAGGAAAACUAUAGCGUUUUUCCCAAUAAAAUAAACUAAAAAACUAUUUAGAGAAAUAUUAUAACAAUCCAUAGUGUUUUGUGAGAAAAACUACAACGCUUUCCUCAUAUGAUUUAGCUUUAUUGUAAUUAUAAUUCUGAACCAACUCAAUAUUAAAAAAAAAAUCGAUAAAGAUAAUUUUAGAAAAAAUCAUAAAAAAAUCACAUGGAAAAACACUGCAACAAUUCACAGUGUUUUAAAGAAAAAAAUAACAAAGCUAAAUUCUUAAUCGGCUCAAUAUUAAAAAAAAUCAACAGAGAUAAUUUUAGAAAAAACAAAUAACAAAACAAACACAAAAAAAAGGGAAAAAAAUCAUGUUGGAAACACUGUAGCAUUUCACAGUGUUUUGUGAUGAAAUCUACCGUGCUUCCCCACAUGAUUUAGCCUUAUUUGUAAUGACUUGUAAUUGUAAUUCACAAACAACUCAAUAUUAAAAAAAUAAAAUUAAAAAAGAUAAUUUGAAAAAAAUUAUAACAAAAAAACUAUACGGAGAGAUACUGUAGCAAUCCACAAUGUUUUAUGAGCAAAGCUACAAUACUUUCCCCACAUGAUUAAGCUUUAUUACAAAGUUAAAUUUUAACCAACUCAAUAUUUUAAAAAAAUAAAAUCGACGAAAAUAAUUUUGGAAAAAAAUAUUACGAAAAAAAACACAAAAGAAACUGGAAAAAACCAUGUGAGGAAAAACUGUAUCAAUCCAUAGUGUUUUUUGAGGAAAAACUUGUAUUUACUUGUAAUUUUAAUUUUUAACCAGCUUAAUAUUUAAAAAAUAAAAUUGACAAAGAUAAUUUUAGGAAAAAACAUAACAAAAACAGAAAAAAACCAUGUGGAAAAAAACAUUGUAGCAACCAACAGUAAUUUUCGAGGAAAGUUACAGUGCUUUCUUCACAUAUUGUAACUGUAAUUUUUAACCAGCUCAAUAUUAAAAAAUAAAAUAAAAAAGAUAAUUUCGGAGAAAAUCAGAAAAAAAACCACGCGGAGAAACACUGUAGCAAUCAACAAUGUUUUAAAAAAAAUUACAAAACUAAAUUCUCAAUCAGCUCCAUAUUAAAAAAAAUAAAAAAUAUAAUUUUGAAAAAUAAAGAAAUAAAAUAGAAAAACUAUGUGGAAAAACAUCGCAGCAAUCCACAGUAUUUUUAAGAAAAAAAUUACAAAACAAAAUUUUUAAUCAUGUCAAUAUUUAAAAAGUAAAAUCAACAAAAAUAAUUUUGGAAAAAACAAAAGAAAAAAUUAGGAAAGUUGAAAAAAAAAAAAUUUGAAAAAAAAUUUUUUGAAAAAAAAAAAUAAAAAAAAAACAAAAAAAAAAAGAAAAAAGAGAAAAGUUAAUAAAAAAAAGAAGAGAAGAAUCACUGUGGAUUACUGUUGUAAUCCACAGUAAAAUGUGUGUGGGGGGAACAGUGAUUCCCCCACACCAUUUAGAGUAUGUUUUAAUGUUUUAAAGAAAAAAACUACAUAGUUAAAUUUUUAACCAGUUCAAUAUUUAAAAAAAUUAGCAAAGUUAAUUUUGAAACAAAUUUUUUUUAAAAAAAAAACAAAAAAAAAGAAGAAAUCAAUUUUGGGUAAAAAAAAUGAAAAAAAAAACAUGUAAAAAAAAAACUGCUGCUACAGUGAAAAACCCACAUGUUUUAGAGUUCUUUAAUUUAAGGACACUUUUUACUGUAACUAAAUAUUUUCGAUCCGUAACAAAAUUAUCAGAAAUGAUAAUUAUAUAUAAUGUCAUAAUUAAGUUGAUGCAGCGACACCAAACCCUCUAUAAAAUAGAUUAAAGAUCCAAUUUAAUAAUUUGAUGAAAUUGAAAAUUAAAGAUCUAAUUUAAUAAUUUGAAGGAAUUUGAUAUGAUUUAUAUAUUACUUUCAAAUUAUAUGUAAUCUUUUAUGUUAUGAAAAGGAGGUUUGAAUUCAAGAUUUUCUAGGAAGAAUUAGCAACAAUAUGUAAAGGCAGGUUCAUCUGCAUCGAUACGAGAGAGUUUUAUUUGCUAGGACAUGCCUUGUUGUAUGAUUUAUACAGUGUUUGAUUUUGUACUUCAACAACAUUUAAAAAAAAAUUAAAUUUUGAAACACUACAAAAACUAAAAAAAAAAAAUCUUGAGACACUAAAAUACAAGCUUCCUUUUUUUUUUUUCCAACCUACAAGUUGUGCUCUCCAAAAACUAAUAAAAAAAAACUAAUAAAAACUAACUUAAUUUGAGACACUAAAAUAAAAAAAUGUUGAGACACUAAAAUACAAGCUUCACCUGCAACGCCAAACCCUAAGUAUAUAAACUAACUUCCAUUCACAAUCAUCAGCCGCCUCCUUCUCUUCACCCUCUCUUUCUCUCUGCUCAUCCCGUCAUCAUUGCUUCUCUCUCUCUCUCUCUCUCUCUCUCUCUCUCUCUUUCCAAUCAGAACUAAACAGACGAUGGCUGAGGCACUUCUAUCUCCGAUCUUGGAGCAGUUAACCACGAUCGUUGCUCAACAGGUAUUUUUCUACCAUCUGCAAUAACCUGAUUUACCUAGCAGAGAUAAGAAAUAUAUAUGAAGUUCAAGCCUUUUUUCUUCCUAUCAUAAAAAUAAUACUUUUAACUUGAAUAAAUAAAAAUAAUAUUUUAAAUCCUCAAGUAUAUAUUUGGAUUUUAUUAAAGAAUCUUCUUUUUCUUGUUUUAUUAUUUUUCAUAUUUCCAAAAAUAACCUAAAGAAAAUAUAUCAUUCCAAAUAUAGGAAAACCGAAAAAGGCAAAACAAGAAAUAUUAAGGGUAAAAUAAUCAAUAAAAAGUUCAAAGGAUUACCGAGCGAGUAUAUAUAUAUAUAUAAGGUAAAAUAUCUAUAGUUUAAUGUAAAAUAAAAACCAGAUUUUAUGUCGGUUCAAAGGAGAAAUCCUUCUCUCGGGAGAACAUUAAACUCUUUCCAUGCCUAUAUUAAUUAUAUAUAUAUAUAUAUACACGUUCAGGUUUAACGUUUUACCAUUUAAGAUUCAUUUUAUACCUUCUUGUACAGUAGCAUAGUGCAGACUGAUAUCAUCAUAAUGAUGAUAAAAAGAAAAAAAAUAUAUUAUUAUUUCUAAUAAAUAUUUUAUAUAUAAAUUAUUAAUAUAGUAAAUCCAUUUCACAAUAAAAUAUAUUAAUACAAAAUAGAAAUGUUUCCUAUGCUUGAACUUCCUUGUCUUUUCCACACUAAUAGGUACUGGAAGAGGUGAACCUAGUAGGGGGUGUGAAAUUGUCUUCAAAUCAGAUAAAUGUUUCCCAUGCUUAACGUUUCUUUUCCUUUGUAAACUAAUAGGUACAAGAAGAGGUGAACCUAGUAGUGGGUGUGAAGAAACAAUGUGACAAGCUGAAAAGCAAUCUCCUUGAUAUCCAAUCUGUCCUUGAAGAUGCAGAUAGAAAACAAGUUAAGGAUAAGGCUGUAAGAAAUUGGGUAGACAAGCUCAAAGAUGCAUGUUAUGAUAUGGAUGACGUGCUAGAUGAAUGGAGCACUGCAAUUCUUAGAUGGAAAAUGGAGGAAGCUGAAGAAAAUACUCACAGCCGACAGAAGAUACAGUGUUCCUUCCUGGGAUCUCCUUGCUUUUGUUUCAAUCAAGUGGUCCGACGUCGCGACAUUGCCCUGAAGAUCAAAGAAGUUAGUGAAAAAGUGGAUGACAUUGCCAAAGAGAGAGCUAAGUAUGGCUUUGAUCUGUACAAAGGCACUGAUGAACUCCAGCGACUAACAACUACCUCCUUUGUUGAUGAAUCAAGCGUGAUUGGUCGAGAUGGUGAAAAGAGAAAUGUUGUAAGCAAGUUGCUGGCUGAAAGUAGUCACGAAGCACGGGACGUGGAUGUCAUCUCUCUAGUAGGGCUGGGCGGAAUUGGAAAAACAACUCUCGCCCAACUAGCAUUUAAUGAUUCUGAGGUUACGGCUCAUUUUGAGAAAAAGAUAUGGGUGUGUGUUUCAGAACCAUUUGAUGAGAUUAGAAUAGCCAAAGCUAUCCUUGAGCAGCUUGAAGGGAGACCAACGAAUUUGGUUGAAUUGCAAUCCCUUUUGCAAGGGGUUUCUGAAUCCAUUACUGGAAAGAGGCUCCUUCUUGUCCUUGAUGAUGUAUGGACAGAAAAUCAUGGACAAUGGGAACAACUGAAACCAUCUCUCACAGGCUGUGCACGAGGAAGCAGAAUUCUAGUGACCACUCGUAAGGACGCUGUGGCAACGAUGAUGGGAACUGACCACCGGAUCAACAUUGAGAAAUUGUCCGAUGAGAUAUGCAGGUCAAUAUUCAAUCAUGUGGCAUUCCAGGAAAGAAGCGAAGAUGAGCGCGAAAGAUUGACAGAUAUCGGCGAUAAAAUUGCAAACAAGUGCAAGGGCUUGCCGCUAGCUGCCAAGGUAUUAGGAGGUCUAAUGCAGUCUAAAAGAACAAGAGAAGAGUGGGAACGUGUUUUAUCUAGCGAACUGUGGAGGCUAGAUGAGGUUGAUAGAGAUCAGGUUGAAAGUCGAAUAUUUAUACCUUUGCUUUUGAGUUACUACGAUUUACCUUCUGUGGUAAGACGAUGUUUCUUGUACUGUGCCAUGUUUCCAAAAGACUUCGAGAUGGUCAAAGAUGAAUUGGUGAAGAUGUGGAUGGCUCAAGGUUACAUCAAGGAGACUUCAGGUGGAGAUAUGGAGCUUGUAGGAGAGCGGU
rnacentral:lncRNA from 1 species